AGCGAACGCUGGCGGCAGGCUUAACACAUGCAAGUCGAGCGGGCACUUUCGGGUGUCAGCGGCGGACGGGUGAGUAACGCGUGGGAACGUGCCCUCUGGUUCGGAAUAACUCAGGGAAACUUGAGCUAAUACCGGAUACGCCCUUUUGGGGAAAGGCUUGCUGCCGGAGGAUCGGCCCGCGUCUGAUUAGCUAGUUGGUGAGGUAACGGCUCACCAAGGCGACGAUCAGUAGCUGGUCUGAGAGGAUGAUCAGCCACACUGGGACUGAGACACGGCCCAGACUCCUACGGGAGGCAGCAGUGGGGAAUAUUGGACAAUGGGCGCAAGCCUGAUUCAGCCAUGCCGCGUGAGUGAUGAAGGCCUUAGGGUUGUAAAGCUCUUUUAUCCGGGACGAUAAUGACGGUACCGGAGGAAUAAGCCCCGGCUAACUUCGUG
rnacentral:rRNA from 1 species